rnacentral:lncRNA from 1 species
CACCUAUGGCCAUUCGCUAAUAUUUGCAUGAUCUGGACUGAAGAUGGCCGGAAAAAAUCAAAUGAAAAUCUUGGAGUGGCAUGAACUGGAGUGCUAUCUCUCUACAUGGAAGAAGACACCAACUCUUCGCGUGCGAGUGGGCUCUCAUGGACGCAGCAUGUCGCUUCUGCUCCAUUGGCUGCAAGGUGAGAUAUCCAUC